AAACUUUUAACAACGGAUCUCUUGGUUCUGGCAUCGAUGAAGAACGCAGCGAAAUGCGAUAAGUAAUGUGAAUUGCAGAAUUCAGUGAAUCAUCGAAUCUUUGAACGCACAUUGCGCCCCCUGGUAUUCCGGGGGGCAUGCCUGUUCGAGCGUCAUUUCACCACUCAAGCCUCGCU
rnacentral:rRNA from 1 species